GAUGAACGCUGGCGGCGUGCCUAAUACAUGCAAGUCGAGCGAACGGACGAGAACCUUGCUUCGCUGAUGUUAGCGGCGGGCGGGUGUGUAACACGUGUAUACCCUCCCUAUCAUACUGGGAUAACUUCGGGAAACCGGCUCUAACACCGGAUAAUAUUUUGAACCGCAUUGUGCAAAAGAGAUAUACCGUCUUGCUGUCACUUAUAGAUGGAUCCGCGCUUCAUUAGCUAGUUGGUAAGGUAACGGCUUACCAAGUCAACGAUGCAUAGCCGACCUGAGCGGGUGGUCGGCCACACUGGAACUGAGACACGGUCCAGACGCCUACGGGAGGCAGCAGUAGGGAAUCUUCCGCAAUGAGCGGAGGCCUGACGGAGAAGCGCCGCGUGAGGGAUGAAGGUCUUCGGAUCGGAAAACUCUGUUAUUGGGGAAGAACAUAUGUGUAAGUAACUGUGCAGAUCUUGACGGUACCUAAGCAGAGAGCCACGGCUAACUACGUG
rnacentral:rRNA from 1 species